rnacentral:rRNA from 1 species
CCUACGGGAGGCAGCAGUGAGGAAUAUUGGUCAAUGGACGAGAGUCUGAACCAGCCAAGUAGCGUGAAGGAUGACUGCCCUAUGGGUUGUAAACUUCUUUUAUAUGGGAAUAAAAUGUUCCACGUGUGGGAUUUUGUAUGUACCAUAUGCAUAAGGAUCGGCUAACUACGUGCCAGCAGCCGCGGUAAUACGGAGGAUCCGAGCGUUAUCCGGAUUGAUUGGGUUUAAAGGGAGCGUAGGUGGAUUGUUAAGUCAGUUGUGAAAGUUUGCGGCUCAACCGUAAAAUUGCAGUUGAAACUGGCAGUCUUGAGUACAGUAGAGGUGGGCGGAAUUCGUGGUGUAGCGGUGAAAUGCUUAGAUAUCACGAAGAACUCCGAUUGCGAAGGCAGCUCACUGGACUGCAACUGACACUGAGGCUCGAAAGUGUGGGUAUCAAACAGGAUUAGAUACCCCUGUAGUC